AUGGAGAUUAAAUGUAACAACAUUGCGUAUUUUUGGAACAGACACUCUUUUUCUCUCCCUCCGGUUCUUUAUUCAUGUCUCUGUAACAAAAACAACAGUUCCGAAUAUUACAAAUUUUACGGUUCUUCCAAUUCCUCUCACUUUCCAGGACACAAGUCUACGAAGGAUGUUGAACCUGAUUCAAUAGGCACCCUAAGGAAAAUGAUGCAGAAAAUAAAUGUCUCAUAG